AACGUAGGAGGCGAGCGUUAUCCGGAUUUACUGGGCGUAAAGCGCGCGCAGGUGGCUGAGCAAGUUGGACGUGAAAGCUCCUGGCUUAACUGGGAGAGGUCGUUCGAAACUGCUGGGCUUGAGGUUGGGAGAGGGGUGUGGAAUUCCCGGUGUAGUGGUGGAAUGCGUAGAUAUCGGGAGGAACAUCUGAGGCGAAGGCGGCACCCUGGCCCACACCUGACGCUGAGGUGCGAAAGCGUGGGGAGCAAACAGG
rnacentral:rRNA from 1 species